GAAUGGGGGCAGAGUGGAACACGGAAGACAACGCCCCAGCCUUGGCCGCAUUAUCGAGGGGUGGUACAUUCCCCUCUACCUGUUCAAUCAGCCUGAAGUGCCACCAGGUGUGCGGCCAGGUGGGACCCAGCUACAAACCCUUCUUAACUCUGCCUCAUUCAGGUCUGGCUCUCCCCUGUGUCAAGGCAGGUGCAUCAGGCGGCAAAUACCUACGACAUAUAUAGAGGUGUGCUGUGUGAAGGAUUGAGAGCCCCGGAUGGGAGAUAUUUAAGUUUGUUAAUUGACACUUUAAUUUUGAUACUUCCACACCUUGCCCUUUCUACAAAGACUUGUACAAUAAAUGCACUUUUCGGAUUUCUGCAAA